rnacentral:lncRNA from 1 species
AGCUCCUGGAUGACUACAAGAAAGGGAACCUCCACAUCAUUCCAGAAACUCCUCUGGCUGAGGAGAGAUCAGGAGAUGACAGUGAUGUGUUGAUAGGUUUGAAGUCUCCAGAGCAGCAAAGAGAGUGGGGAGUAGAAC